CCAUGGCCACCGCCGGAAGUGGGCCCGGGCCGCUUCCGCCCGAACUCCUCUCCCCGUGACGCCAACCGGAAGUGGCUGUGGAAGAGCAGCUGCCCUCACUUGUCCUCCCGACUGUGCAGCCCGGCCGGGGAGCGGCAAUGCCAACCAGGGGUUCCGCCCUCACGGGGUUCCCCACCGAACCAUCAGUGAAGACUCUCCCCCACAUCUAGGACUGGUUUGCAGACUGGGCAAGCCCCAACAGGAGGAUCUCAAAAUCUUCUGCAAACUUGAAUUUUCUUCCCCAACAUGCCCACUGCAGCUGGAUGCUGGUGCCUCCUGCAGCAGCCCUGGGUUGUAUCUGUCUGACAACACACCUCCAGUGACUCUCUUAAUUAAGUCUCCCUCACUGCUGCGAGACUGUCACAGUGAUUUUGCACUGCGGGGCUCCACAGAGUCCAACCAGCAACGCUGCAGGAGCUGAAAGUUGCAGCAGCAAUGCAGGAGUGAGCCAAGGAGCCAGGUCAGAAAAGAGAACCCC